GGAGGGUGCAAGCGUUAUCCGGAUUAUUGGGUUUAAAGGGUACGUAGGCGGCAGAGUCAGUCAGUGGUGAAAGCCAACAGCUUAACUGUUGAACUGCCAUUGAUACUGCUUUGCUUGAGUACAGUCGAGGUAGGUGGAAUUCCACAUGUAGUGGUGAAAUGCAUAGAUAUGUGGAGGAACGCCGAUAACGAAGGUAGCUUACUAGGCUGUUACUGACGCUGAGGUACGAAAGCGUGGGGAGCAAGCGGGAUUAGAGACCCCGGUAGUCCACGCCGUAAACGAUGGUCACUCGAUGUGUACCUUUUGGGGUAUGCGUCCUAGCGAAAGCGUUAAGUGACCCACCUGGGGAGUACGCUCGCAAGAGUG
rnacentral:rRNA from 1 species